rnacentral:lncRNA from 1 species
UUGGAUAUGCACUUUGUUACUUCAUUUUAUAAACUGUUAUAAGCGUUAUAAUUUCUUUCAUUUAUCUGAUUUAGUUGUCCCAAACUCCCAAUACAUAUUUAAACCGUGUUGUGGGCUUUCAAGAAGACAAAUGACAGAUUCACAAUAAUGGGCUGGCCCAAGUUACUUAACCAGACGAUGUUAAUCCACUUACUCACUUCAUGACCAUCCCCUCCUUCUCCAAUCUCUCACUCACCCUGUAGUUUCCACCGCAUCGCCGCUGCUCCUCUGCAUCGGAGGCACGACUUCAAUUGCAAGAUCCACUCCCGCACUCACAAGAUCUACUUCCUCCGAUGUACGCAUCGCGUCACCAGGUCUCACCAGGUCAGGCUACCUCAACCACUUCCAAGUGAACCUUCACAAACAACACAGUAUUACGUCUAAAGGAUAGCAAGUAAAUCCGGAGUAUUACAGUUUUGAGCUAAUGUUUUUUUCCCUAGAGGCGGCAGUGUAAUUAUUAGCUGUCAUUAAAAUCAAUAUUGUCUCAUGAAAAUGCCUACCCUGUUGACCCGCUAAUGGCAAUUACAAAAAUGUUUGGUUCAUUACGCCUAAUUCAAAUUAGCUUCAAUGCCUCAUGUUUACUUCCAUAGCCUGAACUGAUAAAUCACUGAAAUUUCUUCUCUGCUAAACCUAUGUCUACUUCGUAAUCAACACCCGAGUAAUAACAUGGUAGAUCGUCAUACAUGUUUAUCUCCUGUUUUCUUGAUGUCUGAGUAACAGUAUAUGCAUGUGUCCUACAAGCUCAAUGCCCUACUAUUCUGGUUGAUAGCUGACUGUUGAGUCAUUGGCACUAAGGUUGCUAAUAGAAAGGCGCACUUACAGAGAGUCCAUGAACAAGAUAGCAAGAAGAAAACAUAACAUAAAAUAGAGAUGUAAUUCCCCUUUGUACUAUGAUGUAUAUGCUUGUUUAGGGCAAACCAUAUAUCUUCAGAAAUUUGUACCUUAUCAGCUAUUUGAUUUGGUUACCGCAGUUCGGUCUUUUCCCUCUUGUGAGUUCUGCACCAUCCUUACAUGAUUCAUCAACAACCACCUAGAAACGAUCAGCAGAAAAACAAAAUCAAAGUGAAAUCAAAUGGAAUCGCAUGUAGGUAGUAGCGAAGUACGAUAUAUGCCACUCCAUUGGCACUUUGCCUGUACACCAUGCAACAUCAAGUGAGGCAUGAUCAAUAAAUUGAUCAGAUACCAACAUCAUGUAUUAAGCACAAAUCAUGAAUCAAUACCAGAGGACCAAAUAGUGUUACCACCUCUGUACUAACAACCAAACAUUUUUUUAGAACAGGGAGGCUCUAACAACCAACAUUUUAGCAUGUCAUUUGUUUACCAAGCAAAACCACAAUAGCUAAAUCUCCCAAGAGCAUACUUUCGGAGAAGCACAGUCCAGAUCAUACACCCACAAAUAAAUGGCUUGGUUUUCAACUGGCAUAAUGAUUUCCUCCCUACCGCAAGCCUCUGCCUACAACUUUAAACUGAACCAUCAAGUUAGCAUGGCAUUUUUUAUAGAAGUAUUGCUAUAGCAGUCUAAUUUCCCAAGGGCAGGAGUCUAAUAUACUUUCAGAAUGUGCAGUUCAGAUCAUGCAGUUAGAAAUAAACUUUAUGGUAGUAACUGUACAGGACUUGCUAUUCAAUUAUCUUUUCUAGUACCCAUUUGGAACACGACACAAUGAUUAGCUCCUAUUAUGUAAGGUCACACUAUUUAAAUCGAGAAUUGCUCGCAUUUCAUUAUUUUUUUAGUUAUCCUAGUAGUGUUUACUUGCACAUCAGGAGUAUCACAGUUACAACUAAAGAGGCAUUGUCCUAUCAUAAUUUAAAUAUCAGAAGCUGACAGCAGUAAUGUAAAUACAUAUGGUCGAGACAUAAUUUUGUAGCAAAACAUGUCAGAGAGGCAAUAGAUUACAUGUGAAGGCACCCACACAAGAUUAUUACAAGAGCAGACACAAGGAUCAGAACACCAAGUAACAAUUAGAAUCUGUAUUGCGAGCUCCCUUCCCCCAUUCUAUUUUUGCUUGACAUUCAAACAUAGAACAAAGUAAUUCUUUUUAAUUUCCAAAGCACAUGUGAAUAUGACAAUACAGCUUGUCAAACCAGUACAUUGACUCAUAGCUCUGUGUCUAACAUUCAAAUCUAAAAUUAAGUAACUCUAUUUUGUUCUUAAUGAAAACAAAAAGGACCUCAGAAAGCCCAAGUAGCACCAAAAAAAAUAUAACACGGGAGAUUAAAAAAAACACUGAAGCAUCAGAGUAGGGAGUAAUUAUCAAAUAGAAACAAAAGGAAAAGAAAAGCAAGAAGCUCACUUCCCCCAUCUGUUUUUGUUUUCUUUCACUUAUAUACACCAGACCAAUAGACAAGCACUUUAACUAUAAAAAAACAUAAUUCCUAAUUCAAGAACACAGUUGAAUAUUGGAGCACAACAUACUACUCUUCGUAAAGUAAAACCAGGCAUGUGAAGUCUCAAUUGACGGACGCUGCUUAGGAAGGAUUCAAUUAUGCUAUUGUUAAGUAGGUACAUUACAAAGCCUGUUCAUGCUAACAGUAGUAGAUUCUUGUAAUCACACUUCAUGUUAUAUUUUCUAAAUAAAAUAAAUGAUCUCGCUAUAGCAGAAAACAUACAUGCAUAUAGCUGACUGAAUUACCUCGCAAAGCUUCUGUUCUUGCAUUUCUACAUUGCCCUUGGUGCUGAAAAUAUAUAAAACAUCAGGCUAAUGCUUAACAAGAUUUUGAUAGUUCAGGUGAUAGGAACUAUCUACACAAAUAUAGGAUUAUGCAUAUGGAUAGUUAGCAUGCAGUAGUCAGUUUCACAGGAUGUUGCUGAUGAGCAUCCUAUUGCUGCCCUUGUUCUCAUAUAUCGGAACGUACACAGAUCCACCAAGCAGAACCAUCAGCUUGCUGUCAUUCAUUCCUUGAGAUCCACAGCAACAUAAUUUGGCACACAUAUUGGGAUUACUAACAAGCUGACCUCCAGAUCCUUUCUGGAUGCACCAAUACUCAGAUUUUUUUUCUUAAAAGAAAAGAAUGAAAACUAAGAAUUCUUAGUGGGAACUACUAAUAUGAGAAGUUAUCUGAUACAUAACACAAUUACCACUCGAUAUAGGAUAAAUUGUUCCAUUGGGAGUAUCUUCUAGCUUUUUUACUUUCUUCUGAUCCAAAGUAGGCGCUAGGACAAAGUAAAUCUUUAAACACUUUUGUAGUGGAUUCAAAACAAUAAGAAGUCAUUUAACUGGCAGAACAUAGCAUUAUGAAAAUAUAUAGCAAAGUCAUUUUUGUGUAUGCUAGUUGCAACAUCGACACAACACAUAUUCUAGCAAAUAGACCUAUGUUCAACACAUUCUACCACAAAGUGCCUGUCCAAAGAUCCUACAUUUUGGUACAGAGGUUGUACGUCACAAACCAUCUAUCCUAUCAUCAGUGCAUGCAGUAUGCAGUACACCAUUUUCCAUAGCUGGAAAGAGACCAUACAUCAUAAUCUGGUCACAAUAUGUAGACAGAAGUGGUUAUCUGGACAAAAUAGGGAGGCACACCUUCACAAAACAGUUCUUAGUAAUUAUAGAAUUAACUGAAGUAAAAUCAAGCAUGUAUGUGUGCUCACUGAAAUGUGUAUGCACCAUUGCCGAUUGAAACAAGAUACACACAGCCGAUUGAUAACCGACAGUUGAAUUAUUGGCGCUCGAAUGUAUGUAUGUGUCCUUGCUCGCCUCUUGUAUGUAUAAAGGACCAAAAUGAUAGUUUGUGUAGUGUAGACCGCUCAAUCGUAAGCAUCUUGUGUGCACCUGAUACACAGUAUACAUAUGAUUAGUACAUUUUAUCAGCAAUAGAUGUGCACAUGAGCUGAAAACAACUUCGAAGACUGCAAGAGUAUAUAAAACCUGUAACUGGUAGCCACAAAAAGAAUUGUCUUUUCUACCGAACAGGCCAGUUCGCUAUGACCAGUUCACGCUCCACGAUUCAGA